ACGGGAGGCAGCAGUGGGGAAUAUUGCACAAUGGGGGAAACCCUGAUGCAGCGACGCCGCGUGGAGGAAGAAGGUCUUCGGAUUGUAAACUCCUGUUGUUAGGGAAGAUAAUGACGGUACCUAACAAGGAAGUGACGGCUAACUACGUGCCAGCAGCCGCGGUAAAACGUAGGUCACGAGCGUUGUCCGGAAUUACUGGGUGUAAAGGGAGCGCAGGCGGGAUAUCAAGUUGGAAGUGAAAUCUACGGGCUCAACUCGUAAAUUGCUUUCAAAACUGAUAUUCUUGAGUAGUGCAGAGGUAGGCGGAAUUCCCGGUGUAGCGGUGGAAUGCGUAGAUAUCGGGAGGAACACCAGUGGCGAAGGCGGCCUACUGGGCACCAACUGACGCUGAGGCUCGAAAGUGUGGGUAGCAAACAGGAUUAGAUACCCUGGUA
rnacentral:rRNA from 1 species